rnacentral:rRNA from 1 species
AGUAGCGGUGAAAUGCGUAGAUAUCUGGAGGAAUACCAAAGGCGAAGGCAGUCCCCUGGUCCGAUACUGACACUGAGGUACGAAAGCGUGGGGAGCAAACAGGAUUAGAUACCCUGGUAGUCCACGCCCUAAACGAUGUCGAUUAGCCAUUGGAAGGACCCCUUUUCCUUUCAGUGACGUAGCUAACGCGUUAAAUCGACCGCCUGGGAAGUACGACCGCAAGGUUAAAACUCAAAGGAAUUGACGGGGACCUGAACAAGCGGUGAAUGAUGUGGAUUAAUUCGAUGCUACGCGAAGAACCUUACCUACCUUUGACAUGGCCAAAGUUCUACCGAGAGGCGGAAGUACUCGUAAGAGGAUUGGCGCACAGGUGCUGCAUGGUUGUCGUCAGUUCGUGUCGUGAGAUGUUGGGUUCAGUCCCGCAACGAACGCAACCCUUUAUCUUUAAUUGCUCCUAUUUUAACAGGCACUUUAAAGAAACUGCCAAUGAUAAGUUGGAGGAAGGUGGGGAUCACGUCAAGUCCGCAUGGCCUUUAUAGGUAGGGCUUCACACGUCAUACAAUGGUUAGAACAAAGAGCUGCAAAUUCGUAAGAAGGAGCCAAUCUCACAAACCUAACCUCAGUUCGAAUUGCGGUCUGCAACUCGAGCGCAUGAAGCCGGAAUCGCUAGUAAUCGUGGAUCAGAAUGCCA